ACUGCUUCUCAGCCUGUUGGCUAAGAUCGAGUAUAGUAGCUGUUGUUAUCAGUUUAAUAUCUGAUACAUCCUCUACUGGAGGACAAUGUAUUAAAUAUAUUUUUGGAGCAGAGAGAUAGAAUAGGAGCUUGCUUUGUCCACUCCAUGCAUUGACCUGGGAUAGCAGUAUCUCCAGGAAUGAUGCACCCAAC
rnacentral:snRNA from 1 species